UUUCCGUAGGUGAACCUGCGGAAGGAUCAUUCAUAAUAAAGUGUUUUAUGGCACUUUUUAAAAAUCCAUAUCCACCUUGUGUGCAAUGUUAGAUCUCGUCAAUCUUGGCGAGAUUUUUAUACAUCAACUCAUUCUUUAACUAAUUUGUCUGAAAAAUAUUAUGAAUACUUAAUUCAAAAUACAACUUUCAACAACGGAUCUCUUGGCUCUCGCUCGAUGAAGAACGCAGC
rnacentral:misc_RNA from 1 species